GACGAACGCUGGCGGCGUGCUUAAUACAUGCAAGUCGAACGGAAAGGCGAUGCUCUUGUGGGGUGCUCGAGAGGCGAACGCGUGAGUAAAACGCGAGUAUCAUGCACUUAUCUUUGGGGUAAAUUCAGGAAACUCGGGCUAAUACCCGAUAGGAGAUACUGAAGCAUGGUGGGGGUUGGAAAGUUUCGGCGGUUGGGGAUGGACUCGCGGCUUAUCCGCUUGUUGGUGAGGUAGUGGCUUACCAAGGUUUUGAAGGGUAGCCGGCCUGAGCGCUUAACCGGCCACAUUGGGACUGCGAUACGGCGCAGAAGGCUACGGGAGGCAGUGGGGGGGAAUAUUGCGGAACGGGCGCAAGCGUGAUGCAGCGACGCUGCGUGCGUGAUGACGGCUUACGAGUUGUGAACCGCUGUGUCCGUUAAUGAAGCGGGAUUGACGGUAAUUAAUAAGGAGGCACCGGCUAACUACGUG
rnacentral:rRNA from 1 species